rnacentral:rRNA from 1 species
UACGGAGGGUGCGAGCGUUUGUCCGGAAUCACUGGGCGUAAAGGGCGCGUAGGCGGCCCGCGCAAGCGUGCGGUGAAAGCCCGGGGCUCAACCCCGGGUCGGCCGUGCGGACUGCGGGGCUCGAGCACUGUAGGGGCAGAUGGAAUUCCGGGUGUAGCGGUGGAAUGCGUAGAGAUCCGGAAGAACACCGGUGGCGAAGGCGGGUCUCUGGGCCGAUACUGACGCUGAGGUGCGAAAGCGUGGGGAGCAAACAGG